rnacentral:rRNA from 1 species
CCUACGGGUGGCAGCAGUGAGGAAUAUUGGUCAAUGGGCGGAAGCCUGAACCAGCCAAGUAGCGUGCAGGAUGACGGCCCUACGGGUUGUAAACUGCUUUUAUACGGGAAUAACGCGCCUUACGUGUAGGGCUUUGCAUGUACCGUAUGAAUAAGGACCGGCUAAUUCCGUGCCAGCAGCCGCGGUAAUACGGAAGGUCCGGGCGUUAUCCGGAUUUAUUGGGGUUAAAGGGAGCGUAGGCCGCAUGUCAACGGUGCUGUGAAAUGUCCGGGCUCAACCCGGGCCUUGCAGCGCGAACUGGCGUGCUUGAGUCCGCGGAAAGCAGGCGGAAUUCGUCGUGUAGCGGUGAAAGGCUUAGAUAUGACGAAGAACCCCGAUUGCGAAGGCAGCUUGCUGCAGCGGAACUGACGCUGAUGCUCGAAAGCGCGGGUAUCGAACAGGAUUAGAUACCCCGGUAGUC